GUUCCUGCUCACCACCGA
rnacentral:snRNA from 1 species